rnacentral:rRNA from 1 species
UACGUAGGGGCCUAGCGUUGUCCGGAUUUAUUGGGCGUAAAGAGCUCGUAGGCGGUUCGGCAAGUCGGAUGUGAAAUCUCCACGCUUAACGUGGAGGGGCCAUUCGAAACUGCCGUGACUCGAGUCCGGUAGGGGAGUGUGGAAUUCCCGGUGUAGCGGUGAAAUGCGCAGAUAUCGGGAGGAACACCUAUGGCGAAGGCAGCUCGCUGGGACGUUACUGACGCUGAGACGCGAAAGCGUGGGGAGCAAACAGG